rnacentral:misc_RNA from 1 species
GAUGAAGAACGCAGCGAAAUGCGAUAAGUAGUGUGAAUUGCAGAAUUCAGUGAGUCAUCGAAUCUUUGAACGCACAUUGCGCCCCUUGGUAUUCCAUGGGGCAUGCCUGUUCGAGCGUCAUUUGUACCUUCAAGCUUUGCUUGGUGUUGGGUGUUUGUCUCGCCUUUGCGUGUAGACUCGCCUUAAAAUAAUUGGCAGCCGGCGUAUUGAUUUCGGAGCGCAGUACAUCUCGCGCUUUGCACUCAUAACGACAGCGUCCAAAAGUACAUUUUACACUCUUGACCUCGGAUCAGGUAGGGAUACCCGCUGAACUUAAGCAUAUCAAUAAGCGGAGGA